GCGUCAGUAGUGCAACGGGUUAGAGCAAACGCUCCUGGCUAGAGUGAGAUGUGGGUUCGAAUCCCGCAUGGCGCG